rnacentral:lncRNA from 1 species
CGGCAUCGUUUCACACGGUCAUGCUUUACAUGGCAAGUAAAUGUUGAGUGAUGUGCGGAAAUGGGUAUGUACGGGCACAGGCUCGGUUACGUUACGGUAAUGGCAAUGCAAUGAAGCAGCAGCCCCCCCAACAUCAUCGUUGUCUACGAGUCCAUCGCUCAUCGUUAAGCCUCCCUCCAUCAUAUGUAUGUGCGUCGGCUCCACUUCACAAACCG